rnacentral:tRNA from 1 species
GGGGAUGUCAUUUAGUUGGUAGAGUGCUUGCCCAGCAUGCACGAGGCCCUGGGUUCCAUCCUCAGCAGCACAU